GCGAGCUGUGAACACACCACACACACUCAGUGUGAGCAGUCACUUUGAGGAAGACAUCAGAGCUACACAGGAAGUCUAACAGGAGGAUGACCAGGGACCAGUUCACCCUGUUGUUGGAGGUCAUGACCUUUCAGUGGAUGUUAACUCUCUUCGGAGAAGACACUGAGGUGUCCUGUGUUUUCAUGGAGAGCUGCAUCUUACCGUGCAGCUUCCAGAGCGGAGCUGAUCCAGUCAUCAUCUGGAC